UACGUAGGAGGCAAGCGUUGUCCGGAAUUACUGGGCGUAAAGCGCGUGUAGGUAGUGGGACAAGUCUGCUGUGAAAGUGCCUGGCUUAACCGGGCGAGGUCGGCGGAAACUGUCCGACUCGAGGACGGUAGAGGGGGGUGGAAUUCCCGGUGUAGUGGUGAAAUGCGUAGAGAUCGGGAGGAACACCUGUGGCGAAGGCGGCCCCCUGGGCCGGCCCUGACACUGAGACGCGAAGGCGUGGGGAGCGAACGGG
rnacentral:rRNA from 1 species